ACCGGUCAUAAUCGAAGCUACGAUAAGGCAUAAUAAAUAUUGUAGUCAAAAGUUGGCCAAAAUGAAAUUCCUUAAUAUUGGUCACUGAUUGCUUUCGCAUAGGCUUUUCAGUAUUACCCAUUUAGGAAACAGAU
rnacentral:snoRNA from 1 species